rfam:Citrus clementina cultivar Clemenules unplaced genomic scaffold scaffold_2, whole genome shotgun sequence.
AUACCAUGAUGAGGACAUCUUCUGAGUAACUCCUUAAAUCUCUCACAUGCAUCACAUAAGUUCUCAUCUUCAAGUUAUUGGAAAGAUGUGAUCUCGUUCCUCAACUU